GUGCUCACUUUGGCAGCACAUACACUAAAGUUGGAACAAUACAGAGAUUAGCAUGCCCCCUGCACAGGGAUGACAGGCAAACCCGUGAAGCAUUCCAUUAAAAG